rnacentral:rRNA from 1 species
AGUGAACGCUGGCGGCAGGCCUAACACAUGCAAGUCGAACGGAAGCACAGUAAGAGCUUGCUCUUACGGUUGGCGACUGGCGGGUGAGUGAGACGUACAUCGCCUUCCUCUUUUUCGUGGGGGAUAACGUGAGAAAACAUACGCUAAUACCGCAUAUGUCCAACGGGUGGAAGCAAUCGAUCAUCGGACUUUUCGCGAUUGUAAUAGCCGAUGUCGGAUUAGCUAGUUGGCGGGGUAAAGGCACACCAAGGCAACGAACCGUAGCUGAGCUGAGAGGAUGAUCAGCCACACUGGAACUGAGACACGGUCCAGACUCCUACGGGAGGCAGCAGUGGGGAAUAUUAGACAAUGGGCGCAAGCCUGAUCCAGCCAUGCCGCGUGGGUGAAGAAGGCCUUCGGGUUGUAAAGCUCUGUUGUUGGGAAAGAAAAGCAGCAGGAGAAACCCCCGCUGUGCUGACGGUACCCAAAGAAUAAGCACCGGCUAACUUCGUG